UUUUCUAUAGCUCAAUGGUAGAGCAGUUGGCUGUUAACCAAAAGGUUGUAGGUUCAAAUCCUACUGGAGAAG
rnacentral:tRNA from 1 species